GUUUGAUCCUGGCUCAGGACGAACGCUGGCGGCGUGCCUAAUACAUGCAAGUCGAGCGAACCACUUCGGUGGUUAGCGGCGGACGGGUGAGUAACACGUGGGCAACCUGCCUGUAAGACUGGGAUAACUUCGGGAAACCGGAGCUAAUACCGGAUAAUCCUUUUCCUCUCAUGAGGAAAAGCUGAAAGACGGUUUCGGCUGUCACUUACAGAUGGGCCCGCGGCGCAUUAGCUAGUUGGUGAGGUAACGGCUCACCAAGGCGACGAUGCGUAGCCGACCUGAGAGGGUGAUCGGCCACACUGGGACUGAGACACGGCCCAGACUCCUACGGGAGGCAGCAGUAGGGAAUCUUCCACAAUGGACGAAAGUCUGAUGGAGCAACGCCGCGUGAGCGAUGAAGGCCUUCGGGUCGUAAAGCUCUGUUGUUAGGGAAGAACAAGUACCGGAGUAACUGCC
rnacentral:rRNA from 1 species